CCUACGGGAGGCAGCAGUAGGGAAUUUUCCACAAUGGGCGAAAGCCUGAUGGAGCAAUACCGCGUGCAGGAUGGAGGCCUUCGGGUCGUAAACUGCUUUUAUGUGCGAAGAAUUUGACGGUAACACAUGAAUAAGGAUCGGCUAACUACGUGCCAGCAGCCGCGGUCAUACGUAGGAUCCAAGCGUUAUCCGGAAUUACUGGGCGUAAAGAGUUGCGUAGGUGGCAUUAUAAGUGGAGCGUGAAAGCGUGCGGCUCAACCGCAUUAUUGCGUUCCAAACUGUGAAGCUUGAGUAUGGGAGAGGUAGAUGGAAUUUCUAGUGUAGGAGUGAAAUCCGUAGAUAUUAGAAGGAACACCGAUGGCGUAGGCAGUCUACUGGCCCAUUACUGACACUAAGGCACGAAAGCGUGGGGAGCAAACGGGAUUAGAUACCCCGGUAGUCCACGCUGUAAACUAUGGAUGCUAGCUGUGACACACAUCGACCUGUGUCGUAGCGAAGUUAACGCGUUAAGCAUCCCGCCUGGGGAGGUACGGUCGCGAGAGUAAACUACAAGAAGUAGACGCGUGAGAGUGCGACGACGACGACGAGGGAGAGG
rnacentral:rRNA from 1 species